AUAGGCAUGGACUUGAUUGGCAAGUUGUCUAUGACCUCAAAAGGGCACCAGUACAUAUGUGUACUUGUUGACUAUUAUACAAAGUGGGUGGAGGCUUUUCCACUUGCCUCCAAAACCGCAGAGGAGGUAUCAACAUGUAUUGUUAAAACUUUCUAUAGAUUUGGUGCACCAAAAAGAAUCCUAACCGAUCAAGGCAGAGAGUUUGUAAAUCAGGUUUGUUUGUGGAAUUGUUCAACAUUUUUAUUUAGUAAUAUUUCUCUUAUGUUUCUUAUUAUACCAAUAUGAAAGUAUUAUUUUCUCCAGUUCAACAAAAAAGUCUGCAAUUUAUUUGAUAUAGAGAGGAGUCUUUGUUCGCCAUAUCAUCCGCAAACCAAUGGGUUAGUGGAACGAAUGAAUGGCACAAUACAGAAGUAAGAUUAGCAAUUGUAUCCACGCCAGUCAAGACCAACAUGGCUGUGGCAUGGCAUUGACUGUAUAUGUGCAAAUUAGUAUCAAUAAUGGUUGAGUAAAGUGUUAAGACAUUAAUAGGCAUAACUACUAGGCAUACACCGUAAGCUAGUAGACAUACCUAAACUUUAAUAAAGCACUAUUUUGAUAGUUACACACUGCAUUGCAGAAAAUGGUACAGAACAACACAAACAAAAAUACAGUUGUUGUGUACUGAUAAUGUACAAAUUUUAUUUUUUCCCUUUCCCUCCCAGUGCCCUUGGCAAACUCUGCCAGGAUAAGCCAGAGUCAUGGGACAAAUACCUUGAUGCUGUGCUUUUCAACAUAAGGACAAAAAAACACCUCACUACUAAAUUCUCACCAUUUUUUCUGAUGUUUGGAAGGGAGGCACGCUAUUUUUCACAGGUUAAUGAAACUGUGGAAGAUGUUUUGCAGGCAGAGCUAAUCAAGCCUGCCAUACAGCUGCAGGACCAAGUAGAUGAGGCAGUAAGGACAAACAUGCAAGCCUCCAGGGACAAAAUAAAAUCAAAGAAAAGAACUUCCGGGGCUGUAGUGCACACCUUUGUUGUUGGAGAAAGGGUGCUUAGAAGGAAUAUAAGAAGCCAGCAGAGGAAAGGAGGGAAAUUGGACAAUGAUUUUUUGGGUCCUUUCACAAUUAUGUCAUUGCAGGGAAAGAGUGCCAAUUUAAUAAAUGACAAGGGUGUGGAAUUUCCCAAAAUUAAUUUGGAUCAUUUGGUGCCAUUCAUUGAGGAAGAACCUCAAAUUCCUCACAAGAUCAGACAGUUUCACACAACACCCCCGUUUCCAGGGACACAUACUCCAGUUCCAUCCACAGCACCCCUGGACCUGAGUGCAGCAUCUCCAGUCCCAUCCACAGCACCCCUGGACCUAAGCGCAGCAUCUUCAGUCUCGAGCAAGGCACCACCAGUCCAUAGCAAAGUUGCACAUAGCACUGUCCCAAACAGAAAUAUGUGUUUUGAUGGCCAAAAUUGGGCCAUACAAAAUCUUUUCUAUGGACAUGGCACGGCUGAACCCUGGUAGAGAACUGGAAAGUGAGGUAGAGUAAUCAACAUUAUCAGUUUAAAGAACAUGCAAAUGUGCUAUUGUUAAUUAGGGUUUAAAUCAGAAUACACCAACCUUGCUCUUAAAGAGCUACCAUCUUGCAGACUUCACUUCCAACCAUGCUCUAAGGGUUACUUGUAAUUAUGAAGUAAACCUCAAGACCCCGGUGAGUUGCUUCAGGUGUUUUUUUUUUUUUUUUUUUUAUCAGUUUUCAGUAGAGAUUGAGAUAAAUGUCCUGCUAAUGUCUACAGUACAUUAGCUCUCCAGAAGCAUUAGAGACCUCUUGUUCAGACUCCACCUGGGAUUGAGACCUGAAUACUAAUGAUAAUCAUUCAGUUUUAAAAUUUUUAUUGUAUUAUACCAAUGUAAAACCACUUUUUCUUUUUUCUGUAGGUUAUUAAUGCAUACAUUUUUAGCUGUGUGAGGAAGCAUAACCAGGAGCAAAAAGAGAAGGCGUAUAUGAUCGAUUGCUUUGCAAUGAGCAAAAUAUGGCAAGGAUCAUACAAAGUCUUAAAAAAUUUUGAUCCAAGCCAAUAUGUAACUGUUCUGGGGGUCAUAAAUGAGCAUCACCACUGGACUCUUGCUGUGAGUAUUCUUAAAUGCAUCUCUAAAUGACAUCUAUAGUAUGUGGCAAUCAAAUCUGAUUCAACUUGUAUCAAAUGCUUGUCUUUAAAUAGGUAGGAGUAUUAAGCAUAAUAUCCAACUGCCACACUGUCGCCAGUAGUUCCUGCCACAAUU